rnacentral:rRNA from 1 species
UAAAGAGCCGCGGUAUUUUGACCGUGCAAAGGUAGCAUAAUCAUUAGUCUCUUAAUUAGGGGCUGGAAUGAAUGGUUUGACGAGAAAUCGACUGUCUCUUAAUAAUAUAUAAAAUUUAACUUUUAAGUUAAAAGGCUUAAAUUUUUCUUUAGGACGAGAAGACCCUAUAGAUUUUUACAUUUUAUUUAUAUAUAUUUUUUAGCUAAUCUUUAUAUAUAUAAUUCUUAUGUUUUGUUGGGGUGACAUGAAGAAUUAAUAAACUCUUCAUUAUUUAAUCAUUAAUUUAUGUUAAUUUUGAUCCAUAAUUUAUGAUCAUAAGAUUAAAUUACCUUAGGGAUAACAGCGUAAUUGUUUUUGAGAGCUCAUAUCGACAAAGCAGAUUGCGACCUCGAUGUUGGAUUAAGAAAAGUUUUAGGUGUAGUA